AUAACACUGCCUCCACCGUGUUUGACACAUGAUGUGGUAUACUUUGGAUCAUGAGCUGUUCCUUUCUUUUGCCAU